UGAGGAACAUGACCUUCGGCGGGGGAUAGCCGGCCCAACGGCCGGGUAAUACCGCGUACGACCACAUGGGGACAUCCCUGAGUGGUGAAAGCAGCAAUGCGCCGAUGGAGUGCCUCGCGGCCUAUCAGCUAGUUGGUGUGGGUAAUGGCCCACCAAGGCGACGACGGGUAGCCGGCCUGAGAGGGUGACCGGCCACACUGGGACUGAGACACGGCCCAGACUCCUACGGGAGGNAGCG
rnacentral:rRNA from 1 species